rnacentral:rRNA from 1 species
UAGGGAAUCUUCCACAAUGGACGAAAGUCUGAUGGAGCAAUGCCGCGUGAGUGAUGAAGGAUUUCGGUUCGUAAAACUCUGUUGUAAGGGAAGAACAAGUAACGUAGUAACUGGCGUUACCAUGACGGUAUCUUAUUAGAAAGCCACGGCUAACUACGUG